UGUACAACAAUUCGAGUGCAC
rnacentral:siRNA from 1 species